rnacentral:rRNA from 1 species
CAGUAGCCGCGGUAAUACGAAGGGGGCUAGCGUUGCUCGGAAUUACUGGGCGUAAAGGGCGCGUAGGCGGACAGUUCAGUCGGGGGUGAAAGCCCGGGGCUCAACCUCGGAAUUGCCUUCGAUACUGGCUGUCUUGAGUAUGAGAGAGGUGUGUGGAACUCCGAGUGUAGAGGUGAAAUUCGUGGAUAUUCGGAAGAACACCAACGGCGAAAGCACUCUGCUGGGCCGACACUGACACUGAGAGACGAAAGCUAGGGGAGCAAAUGGGAUUAGAUACCCGCGUAGUCCCUGUCUCUUAUAC